GAUGAACGCUGGCGGCGUGCCUAAUACAUGCAAGUCGAGCGAACAGAUAAGGAGCUUGCUCCUUUGACGUUAGCGGCGGACGGGUGAGUAACACGUGGGUAACCUACCUAUAAGACUGGAAUAACUCCGGGAAACCGGGGCUAAUGCCGGAUAACAUUUAGAACCGCAUGGUUCUAAAGUGAAAGAUGGUUUUGCUAUCACUUAUAGAUGGACCCGCGCCGUAUUAGCUAGUUGGUAAGGUAACGGCUUACCAAGGCAACGAUACGUAGCCGACCUGAGGGGGUGAUCGGCCACACUGGAACUGAGACACGGUCCAGACUCCUACGGGAGGCAGCAGUAGGGAAUCUUCCGCAAUGGGCGAAAGCCUGACGGAGCAACGCCGCGUGAGUGAUGAAGGUCUGCGGAUCGUAAAACUCUGUUAUUAGGGAAGAACAAAUGUGUAAGUAACUGUGCACGUCUUGACGGGACCUAAUCAGAAAGCCACGGCUAACUACGU
rnacentral:rRNA from 1 species